UCCCUGGUGGUUCAGUGGUAAAGACUUUUGCUUGCCAAUGCAAGAGACCCAGGUUUGAUCCCUGGGUGGGGAA
rnacentral:tRNA from 1 species